rnacentral:rRNA from 1 species
UACGGAGGGUGCAAGCGUUAUCCGGAUUUACUGGGUUUAAAGGGUGCGCAGGCGGAUAUGUAAGUCAGUGGUGAAAUCUUUGGGCUUAACCCGAAAAUUGCCAUUGAUACUAUAUAUCUUGAAUGCUGUGGAGGUAAGCGGAAUAUGUCAUGUAGCGGUGAAAUGCUUAGAGAUGUGGAGGAACACCAAUGGCGAAGGCAGCCUUCUGGGCCAACACUGACGCUCAUGCACGAAAGCGUGGGGAGCAAACAGG